rnacentral:misc_RNA from 1 species
GUAGGUGAACCUGCGGAAGGAUCAUUAUAAAAUUUUCAUAUAUUAAUUUAUUAAUUAUAUACAAAAUGUAUUCAAAACCCACACUCUUAUAAACCAUUUAUAAAAAAUGUUAUAUCUCGUAUAUAAUAAUAACAAAAAACAACUUUCAACAACGGAUCUCUUGGCUCUCGCAUCGAUGAAGAACGCAGCAUCUGACUGACUGCAC